rnacentral:rRNA from 1 species
AUUGAACGCUGGCGGCAGGCCUAACACAUGCAAGUCGAGCGAGCGGCGGACGGGUGAGUAAUGUAUGGGGACUGCCCGAUAGAGGGGGAUAACUACUGGAAACGGUAGCUAAUACCGCAUACUAUCGGAUAACCCAUAUGGGAUUAGCUAGUAGGUGAGGUAAUGGCUCACCUAGGCGACGACCCCUAGCUGGUCUGAGAGGAUGAUCAGCCACACUGGGACUGAGACACGGUCCAGACUCCUACGGAGGCAGCAGUGGGGAAUAUUGCACAAUGGGCGAAACCCUGAUCCAGCCAUCCCGCGUGUAUGAUGAAGGCCUUCGGGUUGUAAAGUACUUUCGGCGGAGAAGCGGUAUCUGCAGAAUAAGCACCGGCUAACUACGUGCCAGCAGCCGCGGUAAUUC